UCGGGAAUUUUGGGCAAUGGGCGAAAGCCUGACCCAGCAACGCCGCGUGAGGGAUGAAGUAUUUCGGUAUGUAAACCUCGAAAGAAUGGGAAGAAUAAAUGACGGUACCAUUUAUAAGCUCCGGCUAACUACGUGCCAGCAGCCGCGGUAAUACGUAGGGAGCAAGCGUUGUUCGGAUUUACUGGGCGUAAAGGGCGCGCAGGCGGCGCGGUAAGUCACUUGUGAAAUCUCUGAGCUUAACUCAGAACGGCCAAGUGAUACUGCUGUGCUAGAGUGCGGAAGAGGCAACCGGAAUUCUUGGUGUAGCGGUGAAAUGCGUAGAUAUCAAGAGGAACACCUGAGGCGAAGGCGGGUUGCUGGGCCGACACUGACGCUGAUGCGCGAAAGCCAGGGGAGCAAACG
rnacentral:rRNA from 1 species